GUAGGAGUAGCCCAGUGGUAGAGUAUUUGCCUAACAUGCAAGAGACCCUGGGUUCAAUUCCCAGCACUGAAA
rnacentral:tRNA from 1 species